rnacentral:rRNA from 1 species
AAAACUUUACAAUGCGGACAACCGUGAUAAGGGAACCUCGAGUGCCUGUACAUGCAGGCUGUCUGGGUGUCUAAAACACACCCAAAGAAAGGGCCGGGCAAGACCGGUGCCAGCCGCCGCGGUAAUACCGGCGGCUCGAGUGGUGGCCACUUUUAUUGGGCUUAAAGCGUUCGUAGCUGGGUUGUUAAGUCUCUUGGGAAAUCCGGCGGCUUAACCGUCGGGCGUCUANNAGAUACUGGCAAUCUUGGAACCGGGAGAGGUGAGGGGUACUUCGGGGGUAGGAGUGAAAUCCUGUAAUCCUCGGGGGACCACCUGUGGAGAAGGCGCCUCACCAGAACGGCUUCGACAGUGUGGGACGAAAGCUGGGGGAGCAAACCGGAUUAGAUACCCGGGUAGUCCCAGCCGUAAACGAUGUGCGUUACGUGUAUCGACGACCACGAGUCGUCGAGGUGCCGAAGGGAAACCGUGAAACGUACCGCCUGGGAAGUACGGUCGCAAGGCUGAAACUUAAAGGAAUUGG